CUGUAUGUUAAACGAGAAGACUUUAGAUAUGAUCCAGAGUACCACGGGACACGUGAAACCCUGUGGGAAGCAGGAGGGACCACCCUCCAAGGCUAAAUACUACCUAGUGACCGAUAGCGUAUAGUACCGUGAGGGAAAGGUGAAAAGAACCCCGGGAGGGGAGUGAAAUAGAACCUGAAACCCUGCACUUACAAGCUGUGGAAGCACAUUUCUUGUGUGACCGCGUACUUUUUGUAGAACGGGCCAACGAGUUACGUUAAGUAGCAAGGUUAAGCACUUAAGGUGCGGAGCCGUAGCGAAAGCGAGUUUUAACUGAGCGUUCAGUUACUUGACGUAGACCCGAAACCGGGCGACCUACCCAUGAGCAGGAUGAAGCGAAAGUAAAAUUUCGUGGAGGUCCGAACCCACGAGCGUUGAAAAGCUCGGGGAUGACUUGUGGGUAGCGGUGAAAUUCCAAUCGAGCCCGGAGAUAGCUGGUUCUCCCCGAAAUAGCUUUAGGGCUAGCCUCAAGGUGAGAGAUACGGAGGUAGAGCACUGAAUGUCCUAGGGGGUAUUGCACCUACCGAAGACUAUCAAACUCCGAAUGCCGUCAUCUUAUACUUGGGAGUCAGACUGUGGGUGAUAAGAUUCAUAGUCGAAAGGGCAACAGCCCAGAUCGUCAGCUAAGGUCCCUAAAUGUAAGUUAAGUGGUAAAGGAUGUGGGAUUGCACAGACAACCAGGAUGUUGGCUUAGAAGCAGCCACUCAUUCAAAGAGUGCGUAAUAGCUCACUGGUCGAGUGAUCCUGCGCCGAAGAUUUCCGGGGCUAAAACUUACUACCGAAGCUACGGCAUCAGUAAUGAUGGGUAGGGGAGCUUCCCAUACGGGUUGAAGCAUGACCGUAAGGACAUGUGGACAGUAUGGGAGUGAGAAUGUUGGCAUGAGUAGCGAGAUGUGGGUGAGAAUCCCACAGGCCGUAAACCCAAGGUUUCCAGGGGAAGGUUCGUCCGCCCUGGGUUAGUCGGGACCUAAGCUGAGGCCGAAAGGCGUAGGUGAUGGACAACAGGUUGAUAUUCCUGUACUACCGAUAACCGUUUGAGAGAAGGGAUGACACAGUAGGAUAAGCUAAGCACACUGUUGGUUAUGUGUGCCCAAGCAUUGAGGCAGUCAAAGUAGGCAAAUCCGCUUUGAUAAUGCUAGGAUGUGAUGGGGAGCGAAAUUUAGUAGCGAAGUAGCUGAUUUCACACUGUCAAGAAAAGUCUCUAUCGAGGUUAAAGGUACCCGUACCGCAAACCGACACAGGUGGGUGAGGAGAGUAUCCUAAGGCCAGCGAGAGAACUGUUGUUAAGGAACUCGGCAAAAUGACCCCGUAACUUAGGGAUAAGGGGUGCCACCAUCAGGUGGCCGCAGAGAAUAGGCCCAAGCGACUGUUUACCAAAAACAUAGGUUUCUGCUAAGUCGCAAGACGAUGUAUAGGAGCUGACGCCUGCCCGGUGCUGGAAGGUUAAGGGGAUCUGUUAGAGCAAUCGAAGCAGUGAACUUAAGCCCCAGUAAACGGCGGCCGUAACUAUAACGGUCCUAAGGUAGCGAAAUUCCUUGUCGGGUAAGUUCCGACCCGCACGAAAGGCGUAACGAUUUGGGCACUGUCUCAACAACAGACUCGGUGAAAUUGUAAUUCCGGUGAAGAUGCCGGAUACCUGCGACAGGACGGAAAGACCCCAUGGAGCUUUACUGUAGCUUGACAUUGGGUCUUGGUACUACAUGUACAGGAUAGGUGGGAGGCUUUGAAACCAGGACGCCAGUUUUGGCGGAGCCAUCCUUGGGA
rnacentral:rRNA from 1 species